UCGUAGCUCAGUGGUGGAGCGUUCCCAUGGUAAGGGAAAGGUCUUCGGUUCGAAUCCGACCGUUGGC
rnacentral:ncRNA from 11 species